GAUGAACGCUGGCGGCGUGCCUAAUACAUGCAAGUCGAGCGAACGGACGAGAAGCUUGCUUCUCUGAUGUUAGCGGCGGACGGGUGAGUAACACGUGGAUAACCUACCUAUAAGACUGGGAUAACUUCGGGAAACCGGAGCUAAUACCGGAUAAUAUUUUGAACCGCAUGGUUCAAAAGUGAAAGACGGUCUUGCUGUCACUUAUAGAUGGAUCCGCGCUGCAUUAGCUAGUUGGUAGGGUAACGGCUUACCAAGGCAACGAUGCAUAGCCGACCUGAGAGGGUGAUCGGCCACACUGGGACUGAGACACGGUCCAGACUCCUACGGGAGGCAGCAGUAGGGAAUCUUCCGCAAUGGGCGAAAGCCUGACGGAGCAACGCCGCGUGAGUGAUGAAGGUCUUCGGAUCGUAAAACUCUGUUAUUAGGGAAGAACAUAUGUGUAAGUAACUGUGCACAUCUUGACGGUACCUAAUCAGAAAGCCACGGCUAACUACGUG
rnacentral:rRNA from 1 species